rnacentral:rRNA from 1 species
GAGUGAACGCUGGCGGUAGGCCUACCACAUACAAGUCGAACGGCAGCACAGUAAGAGCUUGCUCUUACGGGUGGCGAGUGGCGGACGGGUGAGGAAUACAUCGGAAUCUACUUUUUCGUGGGGGAUAACGUAGGGAAACUUACGCUAAUACCGCAUACGACCUACGGGUGAAAGCAGGGGAUCUUCGGACCUUGCGCGAUUGAAUGAGCCGAUGUCGGAUUAGCUAGUUGGCGGGGUAAAGGCCCACCAAGGCGACGAUCCGUAGCUGGUCUGAGAGGAUGAUCAGCCACACUGGAACUGAGACACGGUCCAGACUCCUACGGGAGGCAGCAGUGGGGAAUAUUGGACAAUGGGCGCAAGCCUGAUCCAGCCAUACCGCGUGGGUGAAGAAGGCCUUCGGGUUGUAAAGCCCUUUUGUUGGGAAAGAAAAGCAGCAGGUUAAUACCCCGCUGUUCUGACGGUACCCAAAGAAUAAGCACCGGCUAACUUCGUG